UAACAAAAAGGUUUCCUGAAAAAUUGCUGUGGAGUACUAAAAUCUGAAUCAUGACAGAUCUUGCUAAUGGAUGCACAAGAUAAAUUGAGAUAUAAAACACAAAUGCUCAGAAACACGCUUCAAAACUGUGACAGCUUGAUGCUAGAAUGCUGAAUGUGGUUCCAAGCAAGGAGCUUGGUGGGGCCACUCUCCCUGGUUGGGGUACAUGCUCUGUAACAGCUUGCAUUAAAACAAACACUGAAUCCUC